rnacentral:rRNA from 2 species
UACAGAGGGUGCAAGCGUUAAUCGGAGUUACUGGGCGUAAAGGGCGCGUAGGCGGACGUUUAAGUUUGAUGUGAAAUCCCUGGGCUUAACCUAGGAACUGCAUUGAAUACUGAACGACUAGAGUACUGUAGAGGGUAGUGGAAUUUCCGGUGUAGCGGUGAAAUGCGUAGAGAUCGGAAGGAACACCAGUGGCGAAGGCGGCUACCUGGACAGAUACUGACGCUGAGGCGCGAGAGCGUGGGGAGCAAACAGG